AUGCCCUGCUUUUCUGCAGCCACCAGGCAGCCCAGUGUGACGGUGCUGCCUCCCUCCAGAGAGGAGCUGUCCAGUGGGGGCUCUGCCACACUGCUGUGCCUGGCUGACAAGGGCUUCCCCUCAGACUGGAGCCUGAGCUGGAAGGUGGAUGGCAGCAGUAGGAGUGGAGUGGCCAGUGCUGGGCUCAUGAAGGACGGUGUGUACAGCUGGAGCAGCAGCCUGACCCUCACUGAUGCUGAGUGGAGAGGAGCCACCUCAGUGGUGUGUGAGGCCACCCAGGGAUCCCAGAGAGCCGUCAGCAAAGCCCUGAGCAGAGCUGACUGCUUCCAGUAGCCUCCAGCCUCUACUCUUCUCUGCUG